CGGUGCCAAGAGGCUUCAGGACUCGCCUACCCGCGCUAUGGACGAUUUUCCUAAAGUUUUCCAGGUUCGGUGCGGGAAAGAAUCGGUCUGGUCUUCUGAGUUGGAGGCUUGCACAAGUUUCUAUGGUCUUUCCUUAAAUGUAAGCCAGCCUUACAUUUAAAAGCCUAAAAAGCCUAAAAAGUAGGCUUUUUAGAGCUGAGUACAUCUUUCCUCAGAGUUCUACCACAGAGGUAGAAAGGCAGGCACCAAAGACCAGCUCACUCGGAUGGGGAGAGGCGGGACACAUGGCCUUAAAAGGAAUUUGCACCCUAGAGAAAAAGAGUCUCAGUGGCACCAAAGGCAGUUGCUUCCCAAGCUUAGGCUGGGAACUUGAGGGCUGACCUCAGAUAGAAGGCUAUCGCACUGUGUGAUGGUCACAGAGACAGCAGGCGCGGCGUGUAAGGUCUAGUCGGUUUGAGUAGGCAGUACCACUAAAGCUAGCAAUUCGUUUUGGUGAACAGCUAGGUCCUUAAAGUGUUAGGGUGGGUGUGGGGAAACGAGGUGGGCGGGGACUAGACUGGACUCUGAGUCACUUGCCAGUGAUAAAUGGAUACAAAGCUCUGUCUAUACCUAGAAGAUAAUCACUAGGGAUAUCAGUGACCCAGAAUAGGAGAAAAACUCAAUUCUGGUCUUUUCUCUAUCCUCAAAGAAGGCAUUUGUGGUGGUUUUACAGGGAAAGUUCCCCCACCCAGACCCCCAGGCUCGGUCUUUUGAAUACCUGGUUUCCAGUUAGAGGUACCUUUUGGGGAGUUGAGGAAAUGUACUUUUGCUGGACAACCAAGUCACUACGGCAGGCUUUGAGAGUUCAAAGACUCCCACCAUUCCUACUUUGCUCUCUGCUUCCUGCUUGUGGUUUGAGAUCUGAGCUAUCGCCUUUCUACCUGCCUUCCACCAUGAUGGUGAUGGCCUCUUACCCCUCUGGAACUGUAGGCUCAAAUCCACACCUCUCUAUUU
rnacentral:lncRNA from 1 species